AUACGUAGGGUGCGAGCGUUGUCCGGAAUUACUGGGCGUAAAGAGCUCGUAGGUGGUUUGUCGCGUCGUCUGUGAAAUUCCGGGGCUUAACUCCGGGCGUGCAGGCGAUACGGGCAUAACUGGAGAACGGAAGGGGAGACGGGAUUUCCGGGGUGAGCGGGAAAAGCCGCAGAUAUCAGGAGGAACACCGGUGGCGAAGGCGGGUCUCUGGGCAGUAACUGACGCUGAGGAGCGAAAGCAUGGGUAGCGAACAGGAUUAGAUACCCUGGUAGUCCAUGCCGUAAACGGUGGGCGCUAGGUGUAGGGGUCUUCCACGACUUCUGUGCCGUAGCUAACGCAUUAAGCGCCCCGCCUGGGGAGUACGGCCGCAAGGCUAAAACUCAAAGGAAUUGACGGGG
rnacentral:rRNA from 1 species